rnacentral:rRNA from 1 species
GGUGCGCAGGCGGAUAGAUGUGUCAGGUGUGAAAUCUCGGGGCUCAACCUCGAAACUGCGCCUGAAACUGUCUAUCUAGAGUAUUGGAGAGGUAAGCGGAAUUUCCGGUGUAGCGGUGAAAUGCGUAGAUAUCGGAAGGAACACCAAUGGCGAAGGCAGCUUACUGGACAACUACUGACGCUCAGGCACGAAAGCAUGGGUAGCGAAAG